rnacentral:rRNA from 1 species
AGUGACCGAUAGCGCAUAGUACUGUGAAGGAAAGGUGAAAAGGACCCCGGGAGGGGAGUGAAAGAGAACCUGAAACCCUGUGUCUACAAGCUGUGGAAGCACUUUAUAUGUGCGACCGCGUACUUUUUGUAGAACGGUCCGGCGAGUUACGCUUACUGGCAAGGUUAAGCACUUCAGGUGUGGAGCCGUAGGGAAACCAAGUCUUAAGAGGGCCAGAGUCAGUAGGAGUAGACCCGAAACCGGGUGAUCUAUCCAUGUCCAGGUUGAAGCUGCCGUAAGAGGUAGUGGAGGACCGAACCCACAUCCGUUGAAAAGGGUGGGGAUGAGGUGUGGAUAGGGGAGAAAUUCCAAUCGAACCCGGAGAUAGCUGGUUCUCCUCGAAAUAGCUUUAGGGCUAGCCUCGAUACAGAUUUGCGGAGGUAGAGCACUGAAUUUCCUAGGGGGCGUCAAAGCCUACCGAAGAAUAUCAAACUCCGAAUGCCGCGUAAUCGAUUAUCGGGAGUCAGACUGCACGAGAUAAGUUGGGCGGUCAAAAGGGAAAGAGCCCAGACCUUCAGUUAAGGUCCCCAAGUGCGCGUUAAGUGGAAAAGGAUGUGGGAUUUCGAAGACAACCAGGAUGUUGGCUCAGAAGCAGCCAUCCAUUCAAAGAGUGCGUAAUAGCUCACUGGUCGAGAGGUCCUGCGCCGAAAAUGUCCGGGGCUGAAACGCGCCACCGAAACUAAGGAACCGAAAGGUUGGUAGAGGAGCAUUGCAUGCGGAACGAAGCAGUACCGUAAGGAGCUGUGGACUGCAUGGAAGAGAGAAUGCCGGAAUGAGUAGCGAGAAUAAGGUGAGAAUCCUUAUGGCCGAAUAUCCAAGGUUUCCAGAGUAAAGCUGAUCUGCUCUGGGUAAGUCGGGGCCUAAGGCGAGGACGAGAGUCGUAGCCGAUGGACAACAGGUGGAGAUUCCUGUACUGCGGUAUGACAGAACUGUGGGGACACGUAAGGAAAGCGGAAGCCGGGAAUGGAAAGCCCGGUGCAAGCGGGGUACCAGCCACUUUGGCAAAUCCGGGUGGCAAUGGGAAGCCGUGAUGCGGAGCGAAAUAAAGUAGCGAAGUCCGUGAGCCAUGCGUCAAGAAAAGCCGCUAUCGUUUAUACCGUACCCGUACCGUAAACCGACACAGGUGGAUGAGGAGAGAAUCCUAAGGCCGGCGGAAGAAGCAUUGUCAAGGAACUCGGCAAAAUGACCCCGUAACUUAGGGAUAAGGGGUGCCUGGGAAACCAGGCCGCAGAGAAUAGGCUCAAGCAACUGUUUAGCAAAAACACAGGUCUAUGCGAAACCGAAAGGUGAGGUAUAUGGGCUGACGCCUGCCCGGUGCUGGAAGGUUAAGAGGAGAGGUUAGCGCAAGCGAAGCUUUGAAUUGAAGCCCCAGUAAACGGCGGCCGUAACUAUAACGGUCCUAAGGUAGCGAAAUUCCUUGUCGGGUAAGUUCCGACCCGCACGAAAGGCGUAAUGAUUUGAGCGCUGUCUCGACAAUGCACCCGGUGAAAUUGAAAUACCAGUGAAGAUGCUGGUUACCUGCGCCAGGACGGAAAGACCCCAUGGAGCUUUACUCCAGCUUGAUACUGGGAUUCGGUAUUGCAUGUACAGGAUAGGUGGGAGACUAAGAAGCGGUGACGCCAGUUGCCGCGGAGUCGCUGUUGGGAUACCACCCUUGCAGUAUUGGAUUUCUAACCAGCAGCCGUGAACCGGCUGGGGGACAAUGUCAGGUGGGGAGUUUGACUGGGGCGGUCGCCUCCGAAAGGGUAUCGGAGGCGCUCAAAGGUUCCCUCAGAAUGGUUGGAAACCAUUCGAAGAGUGCAAAGGCAGAAGGGAGCUUGACUGCGACACCGACGGGUGGAGCAGGUACGAAAGUAGGACUUAGUGAUCCGGUGGUAUAAAGUGGGAUUGCCAUCGCUCAACGGAUAAAAGCUACCCUGGGGAUAACAGGCUUAUCACUCCCAAGAGUUCACAUCGACGGAGUGGUUUGGCACCUCGAUGUCGGCUCAUCGCAUCCUGGGGCUGUAGUAGGUCCCAAGGGUUGGGCUGUUCGCCCAUUAAAGCGGUACGCGAGCUGGGUUCAGAACGUCGUGAGACAGUUCGGUCCCUAUC